rnacentral:rRNA from 1 species
CAGUCGCCACGGUAAUACAGAGGGUGCGAGCGUUAAUCGGAUUUACUGGGCGUAAAGCGUGCGUAGGUGGUUUGUUAAGUUGGAUGUGAAAGCCCCGGGCUCAACCUGGGAACUGCAUCCAAAACUGGCAAGCUAGAGUACGGUAGAGGGUGGUGGAAUUUCCUGUGUAGCGGUGAAAUGCGUAGAUAUAGGAAGGAACACCAGUGGCGAAGGCGACCACCUGGACUGAUACUGACACUGAGGUGCGAAAGCGUGGGGAGCAAACAGGAUUAGAUACCCGCGUAGUCCCUGUCUCUUAUAC